GCUUCAGCCUUAUAUCUCCCACAUAGAGUAAGAUUAGCAACAGUAAAAACAUUGCUAAUUUUCAUGUCCGGAGGUAGCUCAAGCAUGUAGACAUUGGAUUCGAUUCGUUUCAGCACCUUGAAUGGACCCAUCUUCCGAGGAUGCAACUUAGUAUUAGUACCAUGUGUGAAUUUCUCUAGGGCAACUCAAACCAUCACCAUAUUGGCUGGUUUGAACUCAACGA